rnacentral:rRNA from 1 species
UACGCCCGAUCUCGUCCGAUCUCAGAAGCUAAGCAGAGUUGGGCUUGGUUAGUACUUGCAUGGGAGACUGCUUGAGAAUACCAGGUGCCGUAAGCCU